rnacentral:tRNA from 1 species
CCGUGUAUAGCGCAGCCUGGUAGCGCAUCUGGUUUGGGACCAGAGGGUCGAAGGUUCAAAUCCUUUUACACGGACCA